UGAUGGGAGCUUGCUCCCUGAUGUUAGCGGCGGACGGGUGAGUAACACGUGGGCAACCUGCCCUAUAGUUGGGGAUAACUCCGGGAAACCGGGGCUAAUACCGAAUGAUACAAUUUAGCUCCUGCUAGAUUGUUGAAAGAUGGUUUCGGCUAUCGCUAUAGGAUGGGCCCGCGGCGCAUUAGCUAGUAGGUGAGGUAACGGCUCACCUAGGCGACGAUGCGUAGCCGACCUGAGAGGGUGAUCGGCCACACUGGGACUGAGACACGGCCCAGACUCCUACGGGAGGCAGCAGUAGGGAAUCUUCCACAAUGGGCGAAAGCCUGAUGGAGCAACGCCGCGUGAGUGAAGAAGGUUUUCGGA
rnacentral:rRNA from 1 species